UGGGGAAUAUUGCACAAUGGGGGAAACCCUGAUGCAGCAACGCCGCGUGGAGGAUGACACAUUUCGGUGCGUAAACUCCUUUUAUAAGAGAAGAUAAUGACGGUAUCUUAUGAAUAAGCACCGGCUAACUCCGUGCCAGCAGCCGCGGUAAUACGGAGGGUGCAAGCGUUACUCGGAAUCACUGGGCGUAAAGAGCGUGUAGGCGGAUUUGUAAGUUGGGAGUGAAAGCCUAUGGCUCAACCAUAGAACUGCUUCCAAAACUGCAUGUCUAGAGUGUGGGAGAGGUAGAUGGAAUUUCUGGUGUAGGGGUAAAAUCCGUAGAGAUCAGAAGGAAUACCGAUUGCGAAGGCGAUCUACUGGAACAUAACUGACGCUGAGACGCGAAAGCGUGGGGAGCAAA
rnacentral:rRNA from 1 species